rnacentral:rRNA from 1 species
AGGAUAGGUGGGAGGCUUUGAAGCGUGGACGCCAGUCUGCGUGGAGCCGACCUUGAAAUACCACCCUUUAAUGUUUGAUGUUCUAACGUGGACCCGUGAUCCGGGUUGCGGACAGUGUCUGGUGGGUAGUUUGACUGGGGCGGUCUCCUCCUAAAGAGUAACGGAGGAGCACGAAGGUUGGCUAAUCCUGGUCGGACAUCAGGAGGUUAGUGCAAUGGCAUAAGCCAGCUUGACUGCGAGCGUGACGGCGCGAGCAGGUGCGAAAGCAGGUCAUAGUGAUCCGGUGGUUCUGAAUGGAAGGGCCAUCGCUCAACGGAUAAAAGGUACUCCGGGGAUAACAGGCUGAUACCGCCCAAGAGUUCAUAUCGACGGCGGUGUUUGGCACCUCGAUGUCGGCUCAUCACAUCCUGGGGCUGAAGUAGGUCCCAAGGGUAUGGCUGUUCGCCAUUUAAAGUGGUACGCGAGCUGGGUUUAGAACGUCGUGAGACAGUUCGGUCCCUAUCUGCCGUGGGCGCUGGAGAACUGAGGGGGGCUGCUCCUAGUACGAGAGGACCGGAGUGGACGCAUCACUGGUGUUCGGGUUGUCAUGCCAAUGGCACUGCCCGGUAGCUAAAUGCGGAAGAGAUAAGUGCUGAAAGCAUCUAAGCACGAAACUUGCCCCGA